rnacentral:rRNA from 1 species
AUUGAACGCUGGCGGCAUGCCUUACACAUGCAAGUCGAACGGUAACAGGUUAAGCUGACGAGUGGCGAACGGGUGAGUAAUGUAUCGGAACGUGCCCAGUCGUGGGGGAUAACUGCUCGAAAGAGCAGCUAAUACCGCAUACGACCUGAGGGUGAAAGCGGGGGAUCGCAAGACCUCGCGCGAUUGGAGCGGCCGAUAUCAGAUUAGGUAGUUGGUGAGGUAAAGGCUCACCAAGCCGACGAUCUGUAGCUGGUCUGAGAGGACGACCAGCCACACUGGGACUGAGACACGGCCCAGACUCCUACGGGAGGCAGCAGUGGGGAAUUUUGGACAAUGGGCGCAAGCCUGAUCCAGCCAUGCCGCGUGCGGGAAGAAGGCCUUCGGGUUGUAAACCGCUUUUGUCAGGGAAGAAAAGGUUCUGGCUAAUACCUGGGUCUCAUGACGGUACCUGAAGAAUAAGCACCGGCUAACUACGUG